CACCUCAAGAGUAAUGUGGCAACGCAGGAACUGAAAUCAUUAGACCGUCUCUGAAACCAGUAGUGAAGUAUGUUAUUUAAUUCGUCGGUACGCGAAAAACCUUACCACAAUUUGAAUAUUAUUCUAAUAAGAUAAUACAAGCGUUGCACGGCUGUCUUCAGUUAAUGUCGUGAGAUAUUGGUUAAUUCCUUUAAAUUAACGGAAGCCCUUGCUUUAUUUGUAUCUUUAGCUUAUAUUUUUUUGCUAUUGCUAUGCAUCCGCAUAAAAUUAGGCAUUUUAGAUAAAUAAAGCAGUUCACCUCUAUAUUGGAUAUGAUAACAGGGACCAAGACAAGUCAUCAUGGCCUUAAUAUUGUGGGCGAUAGACGUGCUGCAUAUUCCUAUACAAAAUGAUGCGAAAAUGUGAAUUUGAGCUAAUCUAAUUAAAGUAGGAUAUAAUAUGGAUUGUAGUCUGAAAUUCGACUACAUGAAUAAGGAAUUACUAGUAAUCGUGAAUCACCACGUCACGGUGAAUUU
rnacentral:rRNA from 1 species